UGGCUAGAUCUUUGGGAUUAUUUUUUUUUCCCCUUCUUUCCCUCUCUCUCUUUCUGGAGGGUGUGUGUUGUCCCCUCGAAGUGAAGGAAUUUUGCUCCAAAGCGAGCUGGGACCGAAGACUCUAGGCUAAGUUCUCUCUCUAUGUAGAUGGUGUCAGGGAGCGAAGCUACUGACCGAGCUGCUGUUACACCUGCUCUUUAUUGCUGAAACCCACUGGAACUUGCUCUGCUUCUUGGGUUGGCCAGUGAGCACUCCCAGAAACGCAGCUGAGUUCUACAUCAGACAUCCACCCACUUGUACACCGGAAGUGAGUGACCACUAUCUUCUGAAAACAUUGUGAGAUCCUUUGAUUAAGCCACCUGCUACUCAUUACCCGGGAGAAGACUUGAGUGA
rnacentral:lncRNA from 1 species